CACCGAGUCCGAGGUCCCGGGGCACACCGGGACCUGGUGCAAAAGGGA
rfam:Streptomyces afghaniensis 772 genomic scaffold STAFG_scaffold1623, whole genome shotgun sequence.